rnacentral:lncRNA from 1 species
GAGAGUUCCAGUGGGCAGAACAGAGGCCCUGGCCAGGCGGCCUCCUUUGCCCUCAGGGGUCCACGGUGAACUCUUACUGGAGGGCAUCAGCUCUGUGGUGACAUUCCUCUACACCACGCUCACUCUUCUCACAAGCUUGCCACUAGGAGUAAUAGAGUUAUCUUUAGGUCAAUGUGCUAAUAAAAUUUAAUUUUUAAUAUCUUUUUGGAGGAAGAAGUCCAUGGAAGCCAAAGAACCCAAGGCCCACAAAAAUGGUAAGGCAGCCCUGACCACCACCCCCGACAGCUGGGAGCACACAGCCUGGAGCAAGAGGUGGACACUCCAGCUGUGCUCUGCUGGCUCUUUCAACAAGCUCCUGGGGACAGAUGGUGUCCCUAACCCUCCUCUCCUCCAGGAUGGGUCCUCAGUCCCCCUUACCUGUCCGUCUGAGUCUGGCCUCAUGGGUCACAAUAGAGGCCUGAUUGUCUCUUUCUCCUCCCCAGACUGAGCAGGACCUGCACACACACAACACAUGCUUUCACAUGCAAGGACGUAUGCAUGGAUAAUGCAUAUGCAAGCAUGCAUGCAUACAUGUAAGUUUUACACCCUGCAUGUGCACUAAAUAUCACACAUGCAUGCACACACAAAUAUGUGCAUAGAGGAAGACACACGUGGUGGUCACUAACCCACUGACACCUCAGAAACCCUCCACCAUGCACACUGUUGCCUCUGCUACCUGCACCCCUGUCUCCCUGUCCCCUUUGAGUACUCACUGAGUUAUUGCCUCUCCCAUGCUGUUCAUAAUCCAAGCCCCUCCUUCAUCUUAUCUCUUUUUCCUGGAGCUCCUGUACGUGGGGAGUUGCUGGGGCAGGACAUGCAGCAGCGGGCAGCGAGUGACCACAUUGCUCCAUGUCCCUCUCUUGGACACACCUUACCUGGCUAGUCUCUCUUCCUCUCCAGACAGUACC